rnacentral:rRNA from 1 species
CCCUUAGAUGUUCUGGGCCGCACGCGCGCUACACUGACGAAUUCAACGAGUUUAAAUUUUUUUAUAUAAAUUUAUACCUUUAUCGGAAGAUAUGGGUAAUCUUUUAAUGUUCGUCGUGAUGGGGCUAGAUUUUUGCAAUUAUUAAUCUCCAACGAGGAAUUCCUUGUAAACGCAAGUCAUCAGCUUGCAUUGAAUACGUCCCUGCCCUUUGUACACACCGCCCGUCGCACCUACCGAUUGAAUGGUCCGGUGAAAUCUUCGGAUCUGAGAGAUGUCUGAUUAAUUUCGGACGCCUUUUGGAAAAGUUGCUUAAACCUUACCAUUUAGAGGAAGGUGAANUCGUANCA